rnacentral:rRNA from 1 species
CUCAAAUUUGAAAUCUGGCACCUUCGGUGUCCGAGUUGUAAUUUGAAGAAGGUAACUUUGGAGUCAGCUCUUGUCUAUGUUCCUUGGAACAGGACGUCACAGAGGGUGAGAAUCCCGUGCGAUGAGAUGUCUGAUUCUAUGUAAAGUGCUUUCGAAGAGUCGAGUUGUUUGGGAAUGCAGCUCUAAGUGGGUGGUAAAUUCCAUCUAAAGCUAAAUAUUGGCGAGAGACCGAUAGCGAACAAGUACAGUGAUGGAAAGAUGAAAAGAACUUUGAAAAGAGAGUGAAAAAGUACGUGAAAUUGUUGAAAGGGAAGGGUUUGAGAUCAGACUUGGUAUUUUGUAUGUCUUGCUUUCGGGUGGGGCCUCUACAGUUUACUGGGCCAGCAUCGGUUUGGACGGUAGGAUAAUGACAUUGGAAUGUGGCACCACUUCGGUGGUGUGUUAUAGACUUUGUUGAUACUGCCUGUCUAGACCGAGGACUGCGUCUUUGACUAGGAUGCUGGCAUAAUGAUCUUAAACCGCC